AUUGAACGCUGGCGGCAGGCUUAACACAUGCAAGUCGAGCGAGCGGCGGACGGGUGAGUAAUGUCUGGGAAACUGCCUGAUGGAGGGGGAUAACUACUGGAAACGGUAGCUAAUACCGCAUACCAUCAGAUGUGCCCAGAUGGGAUUAGCUAGUAGGUGGGGUAAUGGCUCACCUAGGCGACGAGCCCUAGCUGGUCUGAGAGGAUGACAAGCCAGACUGGGACUGAGACAAGGUACAGAUGCCUACGUGAGGCAGCAGUGGGGACUAGUGCACAAUGGGCGCAAGCCUGAUGCAGCCAUGCCGCGUGUGUGAAGAAGGCCUUCGGGUUGUAAAGCACUUUCAGCGAGGAGGCGUUACUCGCAGAAGAAGCACCGGCUAACUCCGUGCCAGCAGCCGCGGUAAUUC
rnacentral:rRNA from 1 species